UCGCUACUACCGAUUGAAUGAUUUAGUGAGCUGUAGGGACUGUUGCGCUCUGAGGGUUUUCCCUCAAUGUGCAUCUGGGAACUACAUCAAACUUGACCAUUUAGAGGAAGUAA
rnacentral:rRNA from 1 species